CUAACCAAUAUCUGCCCCUUGGAUCUUGUUCUCUUCCCAAAGAACUAUCUAUGUGUCAACAAGUCAUUUAAAAGACACCAGGACACAGUUAAUUCAGUUGCUUCCUCCAGUCUUACUUUCUCUGCCUGUCUGGCCCUUCUUCUGUAAGCUCAUUGUGAAAGGAGCAUCUUUACAGGCCAGCAUGUCAGGUAGACUAUCCUGAAAAUUUUAUAACAUUUUCGGGAAGCAGCUUAUGUAAUUAAUUUACUUGUGGGUGGAUAUUAAUGCCAACUCCAGAACUAAGAUUUGCAUACGUGUCUGAGCCUGUAUCCAGAGAAAUGUAUCUCAGCAGCAGGGAUAAAGGUCAUUUUAACCAUUAUCAAAUUAGAUGCUCAUCCUCCAAUUUAGCAUUGCUCUAUCGGGAGGUUGGACAGCACACAGUCACUCUCAAUAUGCAUUAUUCAAGUCCUUUGUGGCUUUUCUUGUCUCCUCUUCCUGCCUUCCUUUGGUUAAAAAAAAAA
rnacentral:lncRNA from 1 species